rnacentral:tRNA from 1 species
UGGGGCGUGGCCAAGUGGUAAGGCAACGGGUUUUGGUCCCGUCAUUCGUAGGUUCGAAUCCUGCCGCCCCAG